rnacentral:lncRNA from 1 species
AGAUCCCAAUUACCCAUUCCUCUAUUCAGACCAAGGUCAGAUGACCUCCUCCUCCCCAGACCUCAGCCAGACAACCCCUUCCCCAGACCUCAGCCAGACAACCCCUUCCCCAGACCUCAGCAAGACAACCCCUUUCCCAGACCUCAGCCAAACAGCUGUACCUUCAGUCCUUUAUCAGACGCCCCCUUCCCCAGACCUCAGCCAGACAACACCCUCCCUAGACCUAGGCCAGAGGACCCUCUCUAAAGAACUUGGUCA